CAGUCGCCGCGGGAAUACGUAGGGUGCAAGCGUUGUCCGGAAUUAUUGGGCGUAAAGAGCUCGUAGGCGGUUUGUCGCGUCUGCUGUGAGAUCCCGAGGCUCAACCUCGGGCUUGCAGUGGGUACGGGCAGACUAGAGUGCGGUAGGGGAGAUUGGAAUUCCUGGUGUAGCGGUGGAAUGCGCAGAUAUCAGGAGGAACACCGAUGGCGAAGGCAGAUCUCUGGGCCGUAACUGACGCUGAGGAGCGAAAGCGUGGGGAGCGAACAGGAUUAGAUACCCCUGUAGUCCCUGUCUCUUAUAC
rnacentral:rRNA from 1 species